CCAGUGUUCCCUGCAGCACGUUUCCCGAGAGCCAAAAGGUGGAAACAACAGAAUGUCCAUCAGCAGCACCAUGGACACAAGGAUAAAGUGGCCACAGUGGCGGAGAUGAAGGCUAUGCGUGCACCCAGCAGCAAGGACUCCUACUUACCAAAGCUGAUCCAGACACUGUUGCCACCAAAUGCACGACCCGCUAGCAAGGGAGACCAAUGCUAAGCCCGUGAAACAACACUGCUCCUCGGGAAGACCAACUGACUACCUGGUGGCAAGCUGACCACGCUGGAACCCUUCCAUCCUGGAAGGGACUGCGAGAGAAACUGCUAACGUUGGGGACACCGCUGAAUACGUAUUUCCGUAAUUACCCGAGUUAUAUGCUGCGAGAGCCUUGAGAUUGCAUUAUUAAAAAGAAACCUCUGUAGACAUCUAAAAUGCAUCAACCUACUCAAUAGUCCACAUUUGAUCAUAAUUAAAGGUAAGAGAUA